AGUGAACGCUGGCGGUAGGCCUAACACAUGCAAGUCGAACGGCAGCACAGUAAGAGCUUGCUCUUACGGGUGGCGAGUGGCGGACGGGUGAGGAAUACAUCGGAAUCUACUUUUUCGUGGGGGAUAACGUAGGGAAACUUACGCUAAUACCGCAUACGACCUACGGGUGAAAGCAGGGGAUCUUCGGACCUUGCGCGAUUGAAUGAGCCGAUGUCGGAUUAGCUAGUUGGCGGGGUAAAGGCCCACCAAGGCGACGAUUCGUAGCUGGUCUGAGAGGAUGAUCAGCCACACUGGAACUGAGACACGGUCCAGACUCCUACGGGAGGCAGCAGUGGGGAAUAUUGGACAAUGGGCGCAAGCCUGAUCCAGCCAUACCGCGUGGGUGAAGAAGGCCUUCGGGUUGUAAAGCCCUUUUGUUGGGAAAGAAAAGCAGCAGGUUAAUACCCCGCUGCUCUGACGGUACCCAAAGAAUAAGCACCGGCUAACUUCGUG
rnacentral:rRNA from 1 species